rnacentral:rRNA from 1 species
UGCGUAGGCGGGUUUUUAAGUCAGGGGUGAAAUCCUGGAGCUCAACUCCAGAACUGCCUUUGAUACUGAAAAUCUUGAGUCCGGGAGAGGUGAGUGGAACUGCGAGUGUAGAGGUGAAAUUCGUAGAUAUUCGCAAGAACACCAGUGGCGAAGGCGGCUCACUGGCCCGGUACUGACGCUGAGGCACGAAAGCGUGGGGAGCAAACA